rnacentral:rRNA from 1 species
GUGGGGAAUUUUGGACAAUGGGCGCAAGCCUGAUCCAGCAAUGUCGCGUGCAGGAAGAAGGCCUUCGGGUUGUAAACUGCUUUUGUACGGAACGAAACGGUCCUGGUUAAUACCCGGGGCUAAUGACGGUACCGUAAGAAUAAGCACCGGCUAACUACGUGCCAGCAGCCGCGGUAAUACGUAGGGUGCAAGCGUUAAUCGGAAUUACUGGGCGUAAAGCGUGCGCAGGCGGUGCUGUAAGACAGGCGUGAAAUCCCCGGGCUUAACCUGGGAAUUGCGCUUGUGACUGCAGUGCUGGAGUGCGGCAGAGGGGGAUGGAAUUCCGCGUGUAGCAGUGAAAUGCGUAGAUAUGCGGAGGAACACCGAUGGCGAAGGCAAUCCCCUGGGCCUGCACUGACGCUCAUGCACGAAAGCGUGGGGAGCAAACAGGAUUAGAUACCCGAGUAGUCC